rnacentral:rRNA from 1 species
UAACACGUAUCCAACCUGCCGUCUACUCUUGGACAGCCUUCUGAAAGGAAGAUUAAUACAAGAUGGCAUCAUGAGUCCGCAUGUUCACAUGAUUAAGGGUAUUCCGGUAGACGAUGGGGAUGCGUUCCAUUAGAUAGUAGGCGGGGUAACGGCCCACCUAGUCUUCGAUGGAUAGGGGUUCUGAGAGGAAGGUCCCCCACAUUGGAACUGAGACACGGUCCAAACUCCUACGGGAGGCAGCAGUGAGGAAUAUUGGUCAAUGGGCGAGAGCCUGAACCAGCCAAGUAGCGUGAAGGAUGACUGCCCUAUGGGUUGUAAACUUCUUUUAUAAAGGAAUAAAGUUGGGUAUGGAUACCCGUUUGCAUGUACUUUAUGAAUAAGGAUCGGCUAACUCCGUGCCAGCAGCCGCGGUAAUACGGAGGAUCCGAGCGUUAUCCGGAUUUAUUGGGUUUAAAGGGAGCGUAGAUGGAUGUUUAAGUCAGUUGUGAAAGUUUGCGGCUCAACCGUAAAAUUGCAGUUGAUACUGGAUAUCUUGAGUGCAGUUGAGGCAGGCGGAAUUCGUGGUGUAGCGGUGAAAUGCUUAGAUAUCACGAAGAACUCCGAUUGCGAAGGCAGCCUGCUAAGCUGCAACUGACAUUGAGGCUCGAAAGUGUGGGUAUCAAACAGGAUUAGAUACCCUGGUAGUCCACACGGUAAACGAUGAAUACUCGCUGU